rnacentral:rRNA from 1 species
AUCUGAACCUUCGGGGAACGAUAACGGCGUCGAGCGGCGGACGGGUGAGUAAUGCCUAGGAAAUUGCCCUGAUGUGGGGGAUAACCAUUGGAAACGAUGGCUAAUACCGCAUGAUGCCUACGGGCCAAAGAGGGGGACCUUCGGGCCUCUCGCGUCAGGAUAUGCCUAGGUGGGAUUAGCUAGUUGGUGAGGUAAGGGCUCACCAAGGCGACGAUCCCUAGCUGGUCUGAGAGGAUGAUCAGCCACACUGGAACUGAGACACGGUCCAGACUCCUACGGGAGGCAGCAGUGGGGAAUAUUGCACAAUGGGCGCAAGCCUGAUGCAGCCAUGCCGCGUGUGUGAAGAAGGCCUUCGGGUUGUAAAGCACUUUCAGUCGUGAGGAAGGUAGUGUAGUUAAUAGCUGCAUUAUUUGACGUUAGCGACAGAAGAAGCACCGGCUAACUCCGUGCCAGCAGCCGCGGUAAUACGGAGGGUGCGAGCGU